rnacentral:rRNA from 1 species
AAAGAUUAAGCCAUGCAUGUCUAAGUAUAAGCAACUAUACAGUGAAACUGCGAAUGGCUCAUUAAAUCAGUUAUCGUUUAUUUGAUAGUACCUUACUACUUGGAUAACCGUGGUAAUUCUAGAGCUAAUACAUGCUAAAAAUCCCGACCUCUGGAAGGGAUGUAUUUAUUAGAUAAAAAACCAAUGCCUUCGGGCUCCUUGGUGAUUCAUGAUAACUUAACGAAUCGCAUGGCCUUGCGCCGGCGAUGGUUCAUUCAAAUUUCUGCCCUAUCAACUUUCGAUGGUAGGAUAGUGGCCUACCAUGGUUUCAACGGGUAACGGGGAAUUAGGGUUCUAUUCCGGAGAGGGAGCCUGAGAAACGGCUACCACAUCCAAGGAAGGCAGCAGGCGCGCAAAUUACCCAAUCCCGAUACGGGGAGGUAGUGACAAUAAAUACUGAUACAGGGCUCUUUUGGGUCUUGUAAUUGGAAUGAGUACAAUUUAAAUCCCUUAACGAGGAACAAUUGGAGG